rnacentral:lncRNA from 1 species
AGAAGAUCAAAGAUUUCAAGAAAAGGGAAAAAAAUACCAUUAGUGCAAUCACAAACUUCUACUAAGCCAGCGUCCAUACCGAAAUGCUUCUUUGAAAUUCAUUGUUCUUCCGUCGACAAUUUGGGCUAGAAGAUGUAGCUCCAGUUGGAACUGCAGUGGUCCUGUUCGAGCUCUCUUCCCUUAUGAAGAUUUGAAAUGGAAGGAAAACAAGGGCAUUUGAAAUGGAAGGAAAACAAGCGCAUUACUUUUUGAUUCCGUCAAUUUUGUCUGGGAGAAGAUCUGAAGAUGCUCCAAUUCGAAAAUAACUCUCUCUCCCGUCAUCAUAAAUGAAAUGGCUCCUUUAAUUUUUUUGGAUGAUUUUUUAGGCCAAUUUCUAUUCAAAAUAUCGCCAGCUGUCCAUUCGGUAGUCUCUUAUGUAAGGGAUGACGUACCAGCAGCACCACUCUAAAUAUUCUAUUAUUAUAAAAUUCUUUUAUCGUGCAAUAAUAUUUCAUGCUAAUCAAACAAAAGGAAAUGCAUUCUCUUAUGUUUUCACUUUUACUUUCCCUUUUCCGAUUUUCAACCCUAGUUUACUUGAGCCAAAUCUUGGCUUCCUUCCAGUUUCUUCAAUCGUAACUUCUCAUUCAAAAACGAUUUUCG